rnacentral:rRNA from 1 species
AUUGAACGCUGGCGGCAGGCCUAACACAUGCAAGUCGAGCGGAUGAAGGGAGCUUGCUCCUGGAUUCAGCGGCGGACGGGUGAGUAAUGCCUAGGAAUCUGCCUGGUAGUGGGGGAUAACGUCCGGAAACGGGCGCUAAUACCGCAUACGUCCUGAGGGCGACAGUGGGGGAUCUUCGGACCUCACGCUAUCAGAUGAGCCUAGGUCGGAUUAGCUAGUUGGUGGGGUAAAGGCCUACCAAGGCGACGAUCCGUAACUGGUCUGAGAGGAUGAUCAGUCACACUGGAACUGAGACACGGUCCAGACUCCUACGGGAGGCAGCAGUGGGGAAUAUUGGACGAAGGGCGAAAGCCUGAUCCAGCAAUGCCGCGUGUGUGAAGAAGGUCUUCGGAUUGUAAAGCACUUUAAGUUGGGAGGAAGGGCAGUAAGUUAAUACCUUGCUGUUUUGACGGUACCAACAGAAUAAGCACCGGCUAACUUCGUG